rnacentral:misc_RNA from 1 species
UUUUAACCACGUGUCUUCCUUCCUGUCCAAGAAGAUGUCCUCUCAUAAGAAUAAUGGUCAGAAAAUGAAACAGAGACACUCUCCAUACUCCACGGGGACCUGGAAAGAAAGAAAGCAAGGACUGAUUCCUCCUCCUCCUAACCAGAACCCCUCUGGCCCCCCUGAGAGUGACCUGCCCCCGGGGGGAGGGUACAAUAAUGAGUCAUUAUCUAAUGACUAUAUUCCUGACCCUGAGGGGGGUCGUAGAGAAAAGAAGUUUGGUAAUCGUGCCCGAGUGUAUAUUGGUAAUCUGCCCCGAGGGAUGACUGAGGAAGAGUUGAUGGAGCUAUUCUCACCUCAUGGUGAGGUCUCACGGGUUUAUCUUGAGAAGGAAAAGAACUUUGGGUUCGCCCGAAUGGCGUAUCGAGAUCAAGCCAUGAAGGCUAUCAGUUCAUUGAAUGGUAUUAAUCUCAAGGGGAGGGAGCUGAGGGUUCGGUUUGCUGCUAGCAGCUGUUCAGUAAAAGUGUCCAAUCUCCACCCGACAGUGUCCAAUGAGUUGUUGUUCAAUGCUUUUGGUACGUUUGGAGAAGUGGAACACGCCGUCGUAGUGACUGAUGAAAGGGGGAAGUCCCUCGGUCAUGGCUUUGUUGAUUUUGCUAAGAAAACUCAAGCAAUGGCCGCCAUUGACCGGUGUAGACAAGGAGUCUUCCUCUUGACAAAGUCUCCAGUCCCAGUGGUGGUGAGUGAGUUAGUGCGUGAGAAUGAAGAUGACGGAUUAGCUGAAAGGGACAUCAACAAAUCAGCUCAAUAUCACUAUGAGCGUGAUUCUAUUCCAAGGAUGGCAGUACCAGGUACUCCUGAGUUUGAUUUUGGUAUGAGGUUCAAGGAGCUAUAUGAUAAUGAGCAAAGGUCGAAGGAGCAACUUGAUAAAACACUAAAGGAGACGAGGGAGAGGCUGGAGGCUGAGAUGGAGCAAUUCAAGCAUCAUGAACAUGCCAAUGUUCUUAGACUACAAUUGGCCGAAUAUCAAAAAGAACAGGAACUGAUACAGCAAAGGCUUCAUCGUCACGAGCAAUUUAUUCGUGGACCCCCACCUCCAGGGGGCCCCCCUCUACACAUAUUGCCCCCUCCGCCCCCUCACAUGAUGCCAGGACAACCUCUAUUGCCCCCCGGCCCCCCUAGACCUCCUCAGCCACCCCAGCCAUUAUUGGCCAUUAAUGACACGCCCCCCAGGGGGCCGGUACCUCCUAAUCCAUUAAUAGCUAGACCGGCCCAUGGUCCCCCCAGUGUACCUGGUAAUGUACCAACGUUCCUGUUACCAUCGCCAGGAGGACAGAACAUCAUCAGUGUCCAUUAGUCCUCAUAUGUUGUUUGAGAUUAAAGUCCAUUACUCAUGAUUUAAAGUGUUUUAAAUUUCCUUCAGUGCUAACAUUCCUGUGGCUAACAGCUAUAAUCAUAUUAUUUGUAUAGUAGUAUCUACAUCAGACUUUACUAUGAUUGGACUGUCUCGUAUUUCCUUUAAAAAGUGUUUUUGAAGUUGCUAAUACUACUGACCUGACCUCAGGUGUAUAUUGUAUAAAGUCAUCAGGAGGUGUGUGUGUUGGUCAUGUACUAGUAUCAUGUACAGGAGAUGAAACUGUUGCUGUAUUGUUUACUGUAAAUAAUGAUUCUUCUAUUGCCAAAAACUGAUCAAUUACUAGUAAUAAUUAAUUCUGUUUAUUCUUUUUUUAAUGUCUACAACUUGAGUGGAGCAUCCAUUCCACUGGCAGCAGCUGUUGCUGUUUUUAAAGUA